GACCAGCGCAGGGAGCGGCUCGGAUCUCUGCACCUUUCCAGGCUUGCCCGGGACCGCUACGGAGUCCAUUGGGCCUUUUGGCUCUUGCUAUGCCUGGAGAGUGGCUAUCUCUGAAACGGGAAACCCAAGGAAACCGGGUCAGCUGGACACUCCAGUCACCCUCCGGGAGAGGGGCCUCUUAGCUGGGAAGUAAGGGGAAGAGGAAGGAGUCGGAUCUUGCGGUCAGCUCCAGAUCGCCAUCUAGCGGCUUUUCUGGAGCCGCGAGGAAACUCUGGGGUCAACUGUCUUAGUUUCCUGGCUUUAGAUGUUUAUUCUGUAAGUGUCCGGUUCACAAGGGCCAAGGCUUUUAAGAGAUCCAUUGGAGAAGCAAUGCGCUGGGGGGAGAAAAGAAAAGGAAGAGAAGAAAGAUGUUUGGCUGGGAGUCUUAGGCCUCGUUCACCCACCACAGAUGUCUCAACUAUUGGAGUUGAAAGGAGUCCAACCGGGUGUGAACUGCACCUGCAGUCCCAGCUUUCUUGAAACCAAGAGAUCCCAAGUUUUACUCCACCCGUUAUCAACACACAUGCACACAAAGGUGUCCAAAGUGUAUUUCAGACUUCCUCCUCUGUGGAAAAUUGCCAGUGGUGUGCUUUGCAUGGGUGAGGCCCAGCUAUUACCAUCAUAAAAGGGGGUGGGAGGCUGGGGAGACAGCACAGCACUUCUUCUGCUCUUCCAGGGGACCGAUCCGCGUGGGACAGCUCACACGUGUCUGAAACUACCCCACCAGGAUCCCCUGGCUCUCUCUCCGCCUCUGGGAGACCGAAUUCAGGUGCACACUCUUCAAUUCUCGCCUACCCACCCCAAACCCAUGUAAUUAUAAAAAUAAGGAAUAUAAUCUUUUUAAAAAGUCACCCUGAAAAUGAUGUUUCGCUGACUUCUCCGCGCACACUUCCACUAACAAGGUCAGGACAAGAGUUUCCAGCAUGUUCUCUGUCUGGGCCUCGUGUUGUCAUCUUUCCCCGUAGGGACUGUGUGUACGGUGCGUCUCCGUCCUGAAGCCCUCCGUCCGGAAGCCCUCCGUCCUGUAGCACAGCACAGGUUCUUUCAGGGCUCUCCUACAGCUGGCCCUGUUGCUUAGCAGCUGAUCAUAGACUUGUACUGGCACCAGGUGAGGGGAAAGGCAUUCAUUCUCUCCCUGCCCCUCACUCCCUUAUACUAAAUGCGUUGACAGGAAGCAGUUCAGAUGUUUUUAAAAUUUAUGGUAUUUGCAUAGGCUUUACUAGCCUGAAAACCUGAACUCUCCCAACUGAUACUGUUUGUUUCUGAUUGGGGGUGCCAACUGUGUUCCUCUUAUACUGUUGGUGAAAGCUAAGGUUUGAAGAGGCCUAACACAACCAAACACAUAGCUAGGAAGGAGAGAGAAUAGAGGAUCUCCUGCUUCUGAGAUAACACUCCUCUUCUGAUCUUUUUAUUUAUUUAUCUAUCUAUUGAUUUAUUUAUUAUAAGUACACUGUCGCUGUCUUCAGACACAUCAGAAGAGAGAGCAUCAUCUCAUUACAGAUGGUUGUGAGCCACCACGUGGUUGCUGGGAUUUGAACUCAGGACCUCUGGAAGACCAGUCAGUGCUCUUAACCACUGAGCCAUCUCUCCAGACCCCGACUCCUUUAAAAAAGGGUUUGUUUGAUUUAUUUUUGAGACAAGUCUCUCUUACAUAGCUCUGGCUGUCCCGGGAUUCACUAUGUAAAAUAGGUUGUCCUGAAGCACAGAGAGCCAUAUAGCAUAAACCUGGCUUUCCUACACCUGCUCUGACUCCCAAACAAAGACAGGAAGACCUUAUAUUUAUUAGAAGCUUCAGCACUUCAGCUGGGCAGAUGCUCAUCGACUCUCACCCUGUUCUAACCCAUCUGUGGCUGCCUACUACCCCCACAUGCCCCAUUGCUUGCCAACUUCAUCUUGCUCUGGCUGUUCCUGCUCCAUCAGCGUCCUCAUAGUGACUCCUCUGGUGACCUGUUUAUGGUGAGUCUUCCAUGGUGAAUCCCUUCUCUCAGUUGCUGGUCCUCACUAGAGACCCUCUCUGGGAUCAGAAGUCCACCUCCUCCUCUGCUGCCCAGCUAUGGGCUGAUAAGUUCUUUACUAACUAAUCAGAGGUGAUGGACAACAAGUUUUACAGAGCAGUGAGACAGGAGAUGCUUGACAAUCAAACAUCUGAACGGCACCCAGACCUCUGGGCACAGCAAUCGGCAUCUGAAUACACAGUGCACACAAUCAUCCCCUGACAUUUCCCCAUUUUAGUCCAAUAUAGACUCUUUCUCAUAUUAAUAAACCAUAUGCAAUAGUAACAAUUAUGAAAGCUGUCAG
rnacentral:lncRNA from 1 species